AUUGAACGCUGGCGGCAGGCCUAACACAUGCAAGUCGAGCGGAGCGGCGGACGGGUGAGUAAUGCCUCGGAAUCUGCCUGGUAGUGGGGGAUAACGUCCGGAAACGGGCGCUAAUACCGCAUACUAUCAGAUGAGCCUAGGUCGGAUUAGCUAGUUGGUGGGGUAAAGGCCUACCAAGGCGACGAUCCGUAGCUGGUCUGAGAGGAUGAUCAGUCAAACUGGAACUGAGACAUGGUCCAGAGUCCUACGGUAGGAAGCAUUGGGGAAGAUUGGACAAUGGGGGAAAGCCUGAUGCAGCCAUGCCGCGUGUGUGAAGAAGUUCUUCGGAUUGUAAAGCACUUUAAGUUGGGAGGCGUUACCAAAAGAAUAAGCACCGGCUAACUUCGUGCCAGCCGCCGCGGUAAUAC
rnacentral:rRNA from 1 species